GGUAUUGAUUAAGAGUUUUUACAGAGAAGGUCAUCUCCUUUCUUCUUCCUGGUACAGAGAGGCAGGCAACUUUUACAGAUAGAGAUUUACCUUACAAAUGUAAAUGUGUGCUAACAAAGGGCAAGUUCCAUUCCUCAGAGCCUCCUUCCCUGUCCCACUUUAUCAAAAGCAAUCAGCCUCAAAUAAUCCUGAUGCCAAAGAGACAUAUCUUGUGGUGGCCAUUUCCAGGUCCCCACAUUGGUUAAGAAAGAUAAAUUUGUCCUACUGUACUAGAAGGGAAGAAAGAAAGCAUGGGACAAAUUCUGAAGGCAAAAAGAAAGUUAUAGGACACAUUGGUUAUCUUGCCAAAACUUUGACUGGAAUGUCAUAUUUGAGAGAAACAUACAGACUCGGAUAUAGCAAUACUGCGUUUGAGGAACAAGGUUGACUUUCUGGAAAUAAAGCCACUUGGAAAUAUGGGCCUGGUACCUUGCUUUACAGAGAGAUUCCAGCAAUCUUACCCGGUAAGUAAGGAAGCUUGCUUAUCUGGCAGGUGUGAGGAACCUCGGAAUAUUUUGGGGGACCUCAAGAAGAGAAGAAUCCACCCAAAUCUGUAGGUACUGCAGGCAAAAUCUGACGGCAAGUCCUUGGCUUGGCUUUCCUGGCCUCGAGAGGUCUUUAAAGUUCAAUCUGAGAUUCCUCAUAAAAAAAUUCCAGCAAAGCAGACUUAAGCGCCUAUAUGAUCAACUGCUAUUCUUGCUGCACUUAUGUAAAUAACCAGGCCAAGUUUCUUGAAACUAAACUUAUUUUGCAAACCAAUUAGUCUUAAUUUGGCUAUCUUUGGUAAAAAUGAGGGUGAUUUUAGAGAGAAGAAUUAUGCUCCAGUGAGAAACUAAAAUACAUAUUUGUGGAUGUUGGAUCCUAGUUCUGUUAAUUGUCUUUGAGGCUUUUUUUUUCUACCUGUGAACUGAACCGGACCCUCAAUUCUGCUGAAAUAUUUGGUUACAAAUCUCCAAAUGAAUGUUUUCAAUUUUCUCCUUCAUUUUCAUUUGGAAUCAUUGAGAAUUGAACCUGCUCUUUUUCCUGAAACCUUGCAAACUGAAGCUGAACGACUUAAUAGAAACUUAAGAGAGAUUCCUAUCUGUUGCUGUGUAAGCUGUAAGCCACUCAAAAAGAUACCUGAAUGCCCGAUGACAUCAUCAGAGACCUUUCAAGCUGCAAAAGAUGCUUUGACUCUGACAUCUAGAAGUCUUCUUGAUUACCUGCCCCCUGGACGCAGGAACAAAUUUAUAAUUUGCUCUAACCAUUAACCUUGUUACCUUGCUUCCAACAUCACAAGAGAGAGAAGACCAGGACCACAAUCUAUUGUUUAAUUUGGUUUACAAAUGAGACUUACUUAAAUGAUAAGUGAGGAUGUUAUCAAGCUGGAUGUGCUGUCCAGCCUCAAGAAUGCCUGCUACUUUCUGUUAACUCUGCUAACUCAGUAAAAGAUUUCCUUCUACCGGCUCAAGAAAUUGCCACAGAACAAGAUAAGCAGAUAUGGCAGUCAAA
rnacentral:lncRNA from 1 species